rnacentral:rRNA from 1 species
CGCCUACGGGAGGCAGCAGUGGGGGAUAUUGGACAAUGGGGGAAACCCUGAUCCAGCGAUGCCGCGUGAGGGAAGAAGGUUUUCGGAUUGUAAAGCUCUAUCUGCAGGGAAGAAAAAUGACGGUACCUGACUAAGAAGCCCCGGCUAACUACGUGCCAGCAGCCGCGGUAAUACGUAGGGGGCAAGCGUUAUCCGGAUUUACUGGGUGUAAAGGGAGCGUAGACGGCUGUGCAAGUCUGAAGUGAAAUGCCGGGGCCCAACCCCGGAACUGCUUUGGAAACUGUACAGCUAGAGUGCAGGAGGGG